rnacentral:rRNA from 1 species
CCGGUAAAGGAUGGGGAUGCGUUCCAUUAGGUUGUUGGUGAGGUAACGGCUCACCAAGCCUUCGAUGGAUAGGGGUUCUGAGAGGAAGGUCCCCCACAUUGGAACUGAGACACGGUCCAAACUCCUACGGGAGGCAGCAGUGAGGAAUAUUGGUCAAUGGGCGCAGGCCUGAACCAGCCAAGUAGCGUGAAGGAUGACUGCCCUAUGGGUUGUAAACUUCUUUUAUAUGGGAAUAAAGUUUUCCACGUGUGGAAUUUUGUAUGUACCAUAUGAAUAAGGAUCGGCUAACUCCAUGCCAGCAGCCGCGGUAAUACGGAGGAUCCGAGCGUUAUCCGGAUUUAUUGGGUUUAAAGGGAGCGUAGGUGGACAGUUAAGUCAGUUGUGAAAGUUUGCGGCUCAACCGUAAAAUUGCAGUUGAUACUGGCUGUCUUGAGUACAGUAGAGGUGGGCGGAAUUCGUGGUGUAGCGGUGAAAUGCUUAGAUAUCACGAAGAACUCCGAUUGCGAAGGCAGCUCACUGGACUGCAACUGACACUGAUGCUCGAAAGUGUGGGCAUCAAACAGGAUUAGAUACCCUGGUAGUCCACACAGUAAACGAUGAAUACUCGCUGUUUGCGAUAUACAGUAAGCGGCCAAGCGAAAGCAUUAAGUAUUCCACCUGGGGAGUACGCCGGCAACGGUGCAACUCAAAUGAAUUGACGGA